UCGCUUCGGCAGCACAUAUACUGAAGUUGGAACGAUACAGAGAAGAUUAGCAUGGCCCCCGAGCAAGGAUGACAUGCAAAUUCGUGAAGCGUUCCAUAUUUUU
rnacentral:snRNA from 1 species